rnacentral:rRNA from 1 species
ACGAACGCUGGCGGCAUGCCUAACACCUGCAAGUCGCACGCGACCUUCGGGUCUAGUGGCGCACGGGUGCGUAACGCGUGGGAACCUGCCCUUAGGUUCGGAAUAACUCCCCGAAAGGGGUGCUAAUACCGGAUAAUGUCUUCGGACCAAAGAUUUAUCGCCUUUGGAUGGGCCCGCGUUGGAUUAGCUAGUUGGUAGGGUAAAAGCCUACCAAGGCGACGAUCCAUAGCUGGUCUGAGAGGAUGAUCAGCCACACUGGGACUGAGACACGGCCCAGACUCCUACGGGAGGCAGCAGUGGGGAAUAUUGGACCAUGGGCGAAAGCCUGAUCCAGCAAUGCCGCGUGAGUGAUGAAGGCCUUAGGGUUGUAAAGCUCUUUUACCCGGGAUGAUAAUGACAGUACCGGGAGAAUAAGCUCCGGCUAACUCCGUG